rnacentral:rRNA from 1 species
UACGUAGGUGGCAAGCGUUGUCCGGAAUUAUUGGGCGUAAAGCGCGCGCAGGCGGUCCUUUAAGUCUGAUGUGAAAGCCCACGGCUCAACCGUGGAGGGUCAUUGGAAACUGGGGGACUUGAGUACAGAAGAGGAAAGCGGAAUUCCACGUGUAGCGGUGAAAUGCGUAGAUAUCGGGAGGAACACCUGAGGCGAAGGCGGGUUACUGGGCUGAUACUGACGCUGAUGCGCGAAAGCCAGGGGAGCAAACGGG